GCUUCAUUCUUGUCUAUUACUCGAGUAUAAUGCCGUUAGCACGGUCUCGUGCACCUUGAUGCAUUACUUCCAUCAGAUUGAACGUCUCGAUACAGACUGGUUCGAUCUAAAAUAUAUAUUUCAUGGUAAGAACGGAACAUCAAAAUUACAGGUGUUGACGGGUAACAAACUAGAUUACUGUCACUCGUAGACAGGGGCGUAUAGCCAGGAAUUUUCAAUAGUAAGGAAAAGGGGUGUGUGCUGAAAUUUAUAAUUGCCAAGUCAGAACGUAACAGCUAGCGGUUACGGUCAGGCCGGGUCCGACCUCUUUUUUUUAUUUCUGACUACAGCCAGAUUGCAAAACAUCAUUACUUAUCGAUUUUAAUCGACAACAUAUUUGUGAACUCACCAAAUUGUCCUUAGUAGCAGCCACACCUUCCGUGUAGGAGUACGGAUAAAGGAUCAUUUGCCCGUAUGCGUGGAAGGUCCGUAGUAUGUUUCAGAACAAGGCUUUGAUGAUGAUCCUGGUCCUGACCAUCCUGCAUCACAGUUUCUGUUUGGAUCAACACCGAAGCAAACACUUCCUGCGCGUUUGGAGCGAGUUUUUCUCCACAUUCUGUCCUGA